rnacentral:rRNA from 1 species
UACGGGGGGAGCAAGCGUUGUUCGGAUUUACUGGGCGUAAAGGGCGCGUAGGCGGCCACUGCAAGUCAGUUGUGAAAUCUCCGGGCUUAACUCGGAAAGGUCAACUGAUACUGCAGGGCUAGAGUGCAGAAGGGGCAACUGGAAUUCUCGGUGUAGCGGUGAAAUGCGUAGAUAUCGAGAGGAACACCUGCGGCGAAGGCGGGUUGCUGGGCUGACACUGACGCUGAAGCGCGAAAGCCAGGGGAGCGAACGGG